rnacentral:lncRNA from 1 species
AUUAGCAAGAACAAGUGAAAAAGAUGGCUGUUCCACCAGAAACCCAUUGAAUAUGAUAAUGGAGACCCCUCCUCCCCGCUCAGAUUCGGGCUGGAGACCACCCCUGGUGCCUUCCUGCUCUAACCGAGGAAAGAGAUCUCCACGUUAACAGAUUCUUAACUGGCUGGUGUGAAGAGUCAUUCCAAGGUAAGCUAAGCUCAGAUAUUUGCUAAAUUGAUUAUGGCUGUUGUUUUUCAUAGUCAAGAAAGUCAGUUUUUGGAAAAGGACAUCGCCACCACAAAAUCAUAUUUUCAAAGAAAAUGCUGGUGCUUUCUUCAUAGUUGGCAUGGUCAUCUGAUAUUUUGUUAUGGUUUAUCUGUUUGUUCAUUUUGGGUCUCCCCAUCAGAAUAUAAGCUCCCUGAGGUCAUGGUCUUGUUUAUUUAGUUCGAGGCUCUAUCUUCACUGACUCCAAGAAUGCUGACACAUGACAGGUACUCGAUAAAUAUUUUUUUGAGUGAAUGUAGACAUAAUAUUUGUUUUCAAGAGAAAACGACUUUGGAAUUUGUGUAGUCCUGGAAGAAUGUUGAUUGGCCCAGGCAGUCAUCUUACUGUUCUGUGGGCAGGCUCAAUUUAUCUGCUUAUUCAAACAAUCUUUAUUGAGGACCUACUAUGUUCUAGACCCUGUUCUAAACACAGUAGAUACAGCAGUUCACAGUGCACAGCACCUGCUCCUCAUGGACCUUACCUUCUCAUGGGGAGAACAGAAAUCAAACACAUAAUUAACACAAGGGAUAAAUGUAAAGUCAGGUAAUCAUUUUGAAGCAAAAAAUAUAGGGGACAUGAGAACAUGCUGAAAUGGAAGACUAGUCUAGUUUGGAGAGACCAGGAAAUCUUCGCGAGGUAAGUAACAUUUAACUAGAGACUUUAAGGAUAAAUAGGAGUUGGAGAGAAUUCAGAGCAGAGGAAAGCAGGAGGAAAGGUUGUGAGGUGGGAGCAGCUUCAUGUUUGAAAUGCAGCAAGAAAACCAGUGUGGCAGGAGAGGGCAGAAUGUGCGAUUGGAAAGCAAGCAAGCUUUGGUGGAAUGACUGGGUCUGUGAAAGCCAUACUGAAGAAUUCUGCUUUUAUUCUGAAAGCCCUAAGAUGUCAUCAAAGUAUUCUAAGUAAGGUGGUAAAGUGAUCAAGUUGUAACUUUAAAAUUUUUAUUCAAAUAAAUUAGAAAUAAAAUUAUUUUUAAAUGGUGAGAGGAGUUCAUUUUUAGUUUUCCUUGGGUUCUCUUACAAGAAGGAGAUAACAGAUACUCUUAAAGUCAAUGAAGAGCUAAUGGUUGGGGGCAAAAAGGCCUUACCUCCAAUUAACCAUGUGUUAUCUCAGUCCUAGCCCAUACGCAUCUUCAUCGUAGCCUGCUUCUGAAAGUGUCACAAACUUCAGAGAUUUAAUGAGAUCUUUUGGUUUCAUUUUGAAUUAAAUAAGAAAUGGCUAGUAAUGAGAGCCUGCUGCAUAGCACUGGAAACUGUAUAGAGUCACUUAUGAUGGAGCAUGAUAAUGUGAGAAAAAAGAAUGUGUACAUGUAUGACUGGGUCACCUUGCUGUUCAGUAGAAAAUUGACUGAACACCUUAAACCAGCUAUAAUGUAAAAAAUAAAAAUCAUUAAAAAAGAGAAAUUGGUAAGGUGCUAAGGUGCUAAGUGUUCAAAAUGUUUUCUCCCUUUGCUAAAUUUGCAUAGAUAGUUACUGUCAAUUCAUGCAAUUAUUUGAUUAAUUCUUCCUUCACUUCUACAACAAAUAUAAGCACUUCAUAUAUGUUAUGCCAUAGUUGGCCCGGGCUAGAAAUACACUUAAAAUAUUCUCUACGAGCCAUGUAAAUUGUGCUCAACAAAUGUUUGAUGGAUAGCUGAGUGAUACAGUGUUUCUGAUCAGGAAUAGACACAUAAAUAAUAUAACCUGGCCCUUGUUAUAGGAGAUACAAGAAAAAGAUAGUGCUCUGGGAGAAAGCAAUCUUAAACAUGAGCAUAAAAAGAAUAGGAGGACAUUGUAAAUAAACUUCAAUAAAACUUUAAAAGGAGAAGAAGGGAAAAAAAAAAAAAA